rnacentral:rRNA from 1 species
CCUACGUGUGGCAGCAGUGGGGAAUAUUGCACAAUGGGGGAACCCCUGAUGCAGCGACGCCGCGUGAGCGAUGAAGUAUUUCGGUAUGUAACGCUCUAUCAGCAGGGACGAACAUGACGGUACCUGACUAAUAAGCCCCGGCUAACUACGUGCCAGCAGCCGCGGUAAUACGUAGGGGGCAAGCGUUAUCCGGAUUUACUGGGUGUAAAGGGAGCGUAGACGGCGAUGCAAGCCAGAUGUGAAAGCCCGGGGCUCAACCGCGGGACUGCAUUUGGAACUGUAUAGCUGGAGUGUCGGAGAGGCAGGCGGAAUGCCUAGUGUAGCGGUGAAAUGCGUAGAUAUUAGGAGGAACACCAGUGGCGAAGGCGGCCUGCUGGACGAUGACUGACGUUGAGGCUCGAAAGCGUGGGGAGCAAACAGGAUUAGAUACCCCAGUAGUC